rnacentral:lncRNA from 1 species
CUCUGUUAUUCGACUUUUGACGAUGCAAAUUUAAGCAUGGAUGCAAUUUGGGUACUCCUCAUUACAGAAUCAUUGAUGGUUUGGAGGUCAGUUCAGACCAUUUUUUCUAUGAUUCUAUAUGGAUUCAAAAUUAAUUUGGUGAAACCAUAUAGUAAAUAAUGAUACAUCUACAAAAUAAACACAUAAUGAAAACUUUUGUCUGAAGC